UAUUUAAGUGGAGAAGGGUAGAGGGGCGGGCCCAUUAUCCACCGAGUUUUGAAGGUUGCAGUUGGUCCAAAGGAUCAGCCCCCGACGGAUUUAUCGGUCAUCAAAAAAAGAAUUUUCAAAGUAUUGUCAUCCAACAGGAAAGGUUGGUCAAAUUAUGGAGCAAGAAGUUAGGUUACUCAAGAAUUUCAAAUCAUUUGUCAUGCGUGCGUGGUGUGUUCAACGUAAGGUCAACAUAAAAUGGCCUACAGAUCUGCCUUUACACCUCAAGAUAAGGUAACUGCUGCCUUAAAAGAGAAGUUAAUAUAAUCCAGACAAGCACAAGAUCUGUUGGCCCUACCCACAGAUUGAAAUCUUUGAAUAGCAACUUUGAGGUAAGGAUACGGUUUAACUAUAACAACAUAUGUGAAGACGUGUGUUAUGUAUUCAUUGGAUUGUUGUAAAUACCAUGUGCGGGUAAGUUUUACCGAAUGUAACAAUCCAACCAGGACAACUUGCUUCUCAGCAAAGACGGUUCAACUUCAGAGCCAUGACAAUAUCCCUGUAUGAAGUCAAACUAUUAGUUUUAUUUAAACUAAAUGCUUAUUAAAUCCUUUUACAUAUAAAAGAUUAUAGCCAUAAAGAAGUACCAUAUGAUUAUACCAAGUGAAAUUUUAAGUUUUAGAAGAAACUAAAUAAGAUUAUGGUUAGAAAAACAAAUAUUACAUGCGACUAUAGAGAAAUGUGGCCCACGAAUGGAAUUUAUGAGUCGAUAUGCAUAGAAAGGUACAAAAGGUCUUUUAGGUUUUGAUAAGAUGACUUCAAAAUACAUAGGUUACUCUUACUUUUACUCAACUUGCAAAGGUUGCAUGACAAAGCAAAUCUGCCAACUCAAAAGUUAGAAACACCACAUGUGCCCCAAAUCUUGAUAACAAAAUUAGUCAGCAAUGAGAUUAGUUUACUGUAAUUGCCCAGACAACUAAAAGAAAGACAUUUUCAAAACCUACGCAGCAAAGUAAGACAUAGAUUAAAACCAUGAGAGACUAGGGUUUAAUUCACAACAAACACUAAAAACACUAGGUGAUUUCAUCUCAUCUACCUUAGUUUUGGUGAGUAGCAUUACUUAGAACUUGUGUUGAUGGAGGUCGCAGGUACCAACCGAAGGAAUAGUUGAGGUGCCCACAAACACACCACCUUUAUGUGUGCGUGAGAGAGAUAGAUAAAUAUAUAUAGAGAGAUAGAUAAAUAUAUAGAGAGAUGGACACAAAGCAAAGGGAAAACACAGAAAAGAAAGGAGAGGUUGAACAUACACUUCACUUAGAUUUUGAAUAUUUCAAAUUACAAUUUACAAAAAGAUUAUGGAAGACACUGAAACUUUUGAAUCUCAGCCGACACCCCAUCUCCCUGACAACCUUUUCUUAUUGGUACAAAAGAAAAUUCUAAAAAAGCACAUGCAUAUCUUUUAUGGUUGUUGAUGGCCCAAAGGUGACUCAUGCAACAGUUAGUUAAAAUUCAUAAACUUAUCCCCAAACCUCUAUAUAUAAUGAUACAAGAAAUGUUCUUAAACCAUCAACCAAAACUUAAAAUAUUUCUCACUGACCAUCACAAUUCACAAUACAACAAUAUUCUACUGCAGAAUCAGAAUCACAAUGAAGAACUUACUCAGUGGAAAUGUGGUGAAUAUUCCAACGAAUUCAGCUGUAUGCUCAUUUGAAAAGCAGCCAAAAAAACUAUUAUUCCUAUCUCCUUGCCAAGACCAUAUUCCAUCUGCAACUUCAAAGAUUUUAUCUAAAUUAAAGCAAAGUGAGUAUUUCCGCUGUCUCCUGACGAAGAAUAAUCAACUUGCUCUUGUACUAGUACUGAGUAUUAAUGACCCUUGAAUGAAGAAAUCUUAAAGAUAAAAAUACUCUUGAAUAUGCAGGAAAAUCUGUGAUUGGUAAGAUGACCAAACUGGGAGAAAGGAUGGACUGUCUUGCACAAGGCAUUCGCGAACAUGGUAAGCACUUAUAUAGUUAUAUUUUUUAUAUACAGCAUUAAAAAAAAGGGUUUGAAAUUGAAGAUGAAAAAGAGUAUUUGAUUCAGUUGUGUUUGGACAUGAACGAACUUGGAAAAAAAAAUGAUGUUUAGUGUCUUAAAACCAAUUUUCACUU
rnacentral:lncRNA from 1 species